rnacentral:tRNA from 1 species
GGUUGUGGCUCAGUGGCAGAGCGCUUGCCUCACACCUAUGAGGCACUGGGUUUGAUCCUCAGCACCA